rnacentral:rRNA from 1 species
UACGUAGGGUGCAAGCGUUGUCCGGAAUUAUUGGGCGUAAAGAGCUCGUAGGCGGUCUGUCACGUCGGACGUGAAAAUCCAGGGCUCAACCCUGGACCUGCGUUCGAUACGGGCAGACUAGAGUUCGGUAGGGGAGACUGGAAUUCCUGGUGUAGCGGUGAAAUGCGUAGAUAUCUGGAGGAACACCGGUGGCGAAGGCGGCGUCCUGGACCAACACUGACACUGAGGAGCGAAAGCCAGGGGAGCGAAUGGG